GAGUGGCGGACGGGUGAGUAUCGCGUAGGGAUCUAUCCAUGGGUGGGGGAUAACAUCGGGAAACUGGUGCUAAUACCGCAUGAUACCUGAGGGUCAAAGGCGCAAGUCGCCUGUGGAGGAGCCUGCGUUCGAUUAGCUUGUUGGUGGGGUAAAGGCCUACCAAGGCGAUGAUCGAUAGCUGGUCUGAGAGGAUGAUCAGCCACACUGGGACUGAGACACGGCCCAGACUCCUACGGGAGGCAGCAGUGGGGAAUAUUGGACAAUGGGCGAAAGCCUGAUCCAGCAAUGCCGCGUGUGUGAAGAAGGUCUUCGGAUUGUAAAGCACUUUCGACGGGGACGAUGAUGACGGUACCCGUAGAAGAAGCCCCGGCUAACUUCGUGCCAGCAGCCGCGGUAAUACGAAGGGGGCUAGCGUUGCUCGGAAUGACUGGGCGUAAAGGGCGCGUAGGCGGUUUACACAGUCAGAUGUGAAAUUCCAGGGCUUAACCUUGGGGCUGCAUUUGAUACGUGUAGACUAGAGU
rnacentral:rRNA from 1 species